AUGUCAAUGUCAACAGCAGAAGGAAAAUUACUCUGCAGGCCCUUCCCAUCUUCCUCUGGGAAGAUGGAUUUUUUUUAAGACCUGAAAUGCAGAAGAAAUUGACCUGCCAGACUUCUCGGAUGCAGCUGUAGCUAUUCCCACUGUUUCGGGUGAUACAGACUCCCUUGUGAAGUUUGGUCCUGCUAUCCAUUCUAUAGUUCUUGACAGAGAUAUUGUUGUGUGUGAUAUAGCAGAGUUGACAGAGACGUUAAUUUUGCUAUUUGGUUUAAUUUAUGCACUUCAUCUCGAUUAUCCAAAGCAAUUGUCCUACACAUUUAAUUUAAUU